rnacentral:rRNA from 1 species
GGAGACUGCCGGGGUCAAAUCGGAGGAAGGUGGGGAUGACGUCAAAUCAUCAUGCCCCUUAUGUCCAGGGCUUCACACAUGCUACAAUGGCCGGUACAAAGGGCUGCGAUACCGCGAGGUGGAGCGUAUCCCAAAAAACCGGUCUCAGUUCGGAUUGGGGUCUGCAACUCGACCCCAUGAAGUCGGAGUCGCUACUAACCGCAGAUCAGCAACGCGCGAAUUCCUUUCCCGGGUCUUGUACACUCCG